UUGGGUUAAGUCCCGCAACGAGCGCAACCCUUAUCCUUUGUUGCCAGCGGUCCGGCCGGGAACUCAAAGGAGACUGCCAGUGAUAAACUGGAGGAAGGUGGGGAUGACGUCAAGUCAUCAUGGCCCUUACGACCAGGGCUACACACGUGCUACAAUGGCGCAUACAAAGAGAAGCGACCUCGCGAGAGCAAGCGGACCUCAUAAAGUGCGUCGUAGUCCGGAUUGGAGUCUGCAACUCGACUCCAUGAAGUCGGAAUCGCUAGUAAUCGUGGAUCAGAAUGCCACGGUGAAUACGUUCCCGGGCCUUGUACACACCGCCCGUCACACCAUGGGAGUGGGUUGCAAAAGAAGUAGGUAGCUUAACCUUCGGGAGGGCGCUUACCACUUUGUGAUUCAUGACUGGGGUGAAGUCGUAACAAGGUAACCGUAGGGGAACCUGCGGUUGGA
rnacentral:rRNA from 1 species